GGUCAAAUCAUCAUGCCCCUUAUGUCCUGGGCUACACACGUAAUACAAUGGCGCGUAACAGAGGGAAGCAAUACCGCGAGGUGGAGCAAAUCCCCAAAAGGCGUCUCAGUUCAGAUUGCAGGCUGCAACUCGCCUGUAUGAAGUCGGAAUUGCUAGUAAUCGCGGAUCAGCAAGCCGCGGUGAAUACGUUCCCGGGCCUU
rnacentral:rRNA from 1 species